AUUGAACGCUGGCGGCAUGCCUUACACAUGCAAGUCGAACGGCAUCGCGGGAAAGCUUGCUUUCCUGGCGGCGAGUGGCGAACGGGUGAGUAACACAUCGGAACGUACCGGCUAGUGGGGGAUAACCCGUCGAAAGACGGGCUAAUACCGCAUACGCUCUUCGGAGGAAAGCAGGGGACCUUUGGGCCUUGCGCUAGCCGAGCGGCCGAUGUCCGAUUAGCUAGUUGGUGGGGUAAAGGCCUACCAAGGCGACGAUCGGUAGCGGGUCUGAGAGGACGAUCCGCCACACUGGGACUGAGACACGGCCCAGACUCCUACGGGAGGCAGCAGUGGGGAAUCUUGGACAAUGGGGGCAACCCUGUUCCAGCAAUGCCGCGUGGGUGAAGAAGGCCUUCGGGUUGUAAAGCCCUUUCGGCAGGGAAGAAAUCGGCGGGGCGAAUAACCCUGCUGGAUGACGGUACCUGCAGAAGAAGCACCGGCUAACUACGUG
rnacentral:rRNA from 1 species